rnacentral:rRNA from 1 species
AACGAACGUUAGCGGCGCGCCUAACACAUGCAAGUCGAGCGAGAAAGGGGCAACCCCGGUAAAGCGGCGCACGGGUGAGUAACACGUAGGUAAUCUACCUUCUGGUGGUGGAUAACCUUCCGAAAGGAGGGCUAAUACAGCAUGAGACCACGGCUUCGCGAGGAGCAGGGGUCAAAGUCGGCCACUACAUGUAAGCUGACGCCAGAAGAUGAGCCUGCGGCCCAUCAGCUAGUUGGUAGGUAACGGCCUACCAAGGCGAAGACGGGUAGCUGGUCUGAGAGGAUGAUCAGCCACACUGGAACUGAGACACGGUCCAGACUCCUACGGGAGGCGAGCAGUGGGGAAGUCUUGCGCAAUGGGCGAAGCCUGACGCAGCGACGCCGCGUGAGUGAUGAAGGCC